rnacentral:lncRNA from 1 species
UAUGUGAAAGUAAAGAGAUUCAGACAGUCUUUCCUCAGGUCAUAUACCUAGCCAAAUACAACAUACAUAGGUAAAUCUGCCUCUCAAAGGUUCAUAAUGAGAUAUUUUCCAUCAGGUACAGGAUUUAUUAAAUUAAAAUCUAACACUGCUGCAAUAAACCAGAUGAGGUGUAAUCAAGUAAUAUAAGUCAUUUAUUUAUAAUGAAUUCAAAAUAACAGAUAACAUUGAAAUCAGAUGUUAGAUGUACAUGAUAUUUUAUCUUCACAGACAAUGCACUGAUUUUCUGAUUUUUUUUCCUAAGUGUGAUAUUAUCUGAAAGUUAGCCUCUUGUUUGGGUGUACAGUUUAAUGUUCCUUUCUGACUUUUGUCCACUAGAUGUCCCCAGUAUGUCACACAGAAGCUCUGAUCUCAUCCAGGGCCUUGUUAAGGAAAAUCUGCAUCUUUUUGAAUUUCUUUAGAAAAGAAUGUUAAUGAUCACCAUCCAAAGACCACUGGAAGCACAGAGGCAAUCAAGGUUAAAUGUAUUCUUUGCUGAAGCAGGGGCCGCCAUAUCCCAUGAAGAGCUAUGAAGUAUCUCUGCACUAAGGUGCUAUGGGGAGCAGGUAACAGAAGUUCGGCUUAAUUAGGUGAUUUAUUUUAGGGACAGUUCAAAGAAGGGCUUAGCUACAGAUGGAAUGUCAUAAAAAAGUGGGAGUAAUUCAAUAACUGGAUGUCAAUAACUUUCUAGGAAGCAGAAAAAACAGUGAGUUUAAGGCUGUAAUUGACAAACAGUCAUUCAUGUUAACCAGCAGAGAAGGAUAUUUGGUCAUUUUUAUGAUUUGCACAGGAUCCUUUUCCAGACAUGAUUAUGGGUUGGUUUGUGGUUUCCUCUUUUCGUCAUGAUCACAGUGAUAUCAGGAAAUAUUGGUGCCAUUUAGGUUAAGCAAGAGAACACUGUGCCUUAGCUGUGUCAGGCUAGUGACCAGUGGGCAGCUGUCAGAGCAGCUCUGUUUCUUUCUCAAGUACAAUUUUCUGUGAUGAAAAGAUUGCCCAUAUGAACAUACAUCCUCAGAGGCCCAAGGGAUUCUCCAUUUUCUUCACAACUCCCAAACAGUGA